AGGUCAAUGAUGAGUCCUUAUACUGUGUUGAGACAGAUGAAGACUUAAAAAUUAUGCUCAAUAGGGUUAUGUUGAGACCC